rnacentral:lncRNA from 1 species
UGUCAUUCACUCUACUCACUUCAGAGCCCUGAAAACUGUGGGUGGUGCCUCAGACAGUGAUGAUAGAAGGAGCCCUCUGGAGAAAGCAUGUUGGACUUGGGAAUUUGGGAGAUGAGAAAAGCCUUUACUCUCACCCUAUACCCUCUGAAGAGUCUCUUCAUUAAGAUCUUCUGGGAACCUACCACUCUGACCUCGAGAAGGCUUGAAGUAGAGUCACAUCAAAGAACAAUGCCGUGAGCACACAUCUCCCUUCACGACUCCUGGUCCAGGCCAGAAGAAGGCAUUGGAUCCCCUGUAAUUAGAGUUACAGAGAGCUAUGAAGCACCAUGUAAUGGCUGGGAGCUGAACUAGCUUCUCUGCAGGAGCAACCAAUGCUCUUAACUGCUGAGCCAUUUCUUCAGUUCUGAAGCCAACUAUCUUGGUCAGCUGAGCUGCAAUGGCAAGAUCCAAACUGUGAGAAAGGACACAACACAAAAUAAAAGAAUCUUCUGGAAGAUUUCUAUAGAUCACACUUGGGCCCACUGUGACUCUGGCAUGACUGCCAUUGAGAAGCCAUCAGCCUCAAAACAAGGGAGCCAGCUGACCAUGAGUUGAAACCCCUGGAACUGUGAGCUGAAAUGAAAUUGCCCACCUUUUAAGAAUUUUAUCUCAGGUAAUUUUCAGCAACAUAAACCUGACUAAUACACUGUGCACUGGUUAUGUUCCACACUGGCUGGCCAACAAGGUAGGGGAAGAGGGGUGAACCUCAAGAGUGCUCAGAGCCUUCUCAGAAAGGAAGGUAGAAAGUAGGGUCCAGCUUACAAUGCCAUUGUGUCUGACCCAAAAGUCAACCAUGGUGACUCAAACUUAAACUACCGACCUUUGCCAUCCAGUACUGUUCAUAUGCUUCACUUUGGUUAUCACGAAGGACAUUUCCUCAAAGAGUUUAUAGUUUUGGAACCUUCAGAAACUCCAAAGUAUAUCCAGCUUUCUUCAGAACCAAAAGGCUAG